AAUUGUGGCCUCCUCUAAACUUUUUCACUAAAAAUGGUUUACUCCAUCAAGGUGUGUCUCUUCUUUUUUGGCUUAAAAGAAAAAAACUUCUAUGAAACGAACUCUCUCAUGUGGCGUGUGUUGGUUUAGUAAAUGCAUUGUUAUGUUGGAUGAAGUUCCUAAUAUGUCCCUAAAUAUAAUGGAAAAAUGGACGGCAAUGGUGAAAAAGACCAAUAUACAACACAUUGUUAAGUUUAAGGACUAAAAAACUAAAUGAGAGUUCAAGACUAAAACUAAACUAGGGAUAAAUUCAGCGACCACUGUUAUAAUUAAGCCAUUUAUUGAUGGAAACGGAUUGAGAUUGAUUGAUUGUUCCAACACAAUCUACAUCAAAUGAAUUGCAGGAUAUGAUCAAAAAAAUUGUGGCCUCCUCUAAACUUUUUCACCGAAAAUGGUUUACUCCAUCAAGGUGUGUCCCUUCUUUUUUGGCUUAAAAGAAAAAGACUUCCAUAAAACGAACUAUCUCAUGUGGUGUGUGUUGGUUUAAUAAAUGCAUUGUUAUGUGGGAUGAAGUUCCUAAUAUGCCCCUAAAUAUAAUGGAAAAAUGGACGGCAAUAGUAAAAAAGACCAAUCGUACAACACAAUCUUAAAUUUAAGGACUAAAAACUAAAUAAGAGUUCAAAAACUAAACUAGGAAUAAAAUUCAACGACCAUUGUUAUAAUUAAGUCAUUUAUUGAUUGAUUGUUCCAACACAAUCUACAUCAAAUGAAUUGCAGGAUAUGAUAAAAAAAAUUGUGGCCUCCUCUAAACUUUUUUCACUGAAAAUGGUUUACUCCAUCAUGGUGUGUCUCUUCUUUUUUUGGCUAAAAAGAAAAAGAAUUCUAUGAAACAAACUCACUCUCAUGUGGUGUGUGUUAGUUUAAUAAAUGCAUUGUUAUGUUGGAUGAAGUUCCUAAUAUGCCCCUAAAUAUAAUGGAAAAAUGGACGGCAAUAGUAAAAAAGACCAAUUGUACAACACAUUGUUAAAUUGAUGGACUAAAAACUAAAUAAGAGUUCAAAAACUAAGCUAGGAAUUUAUUACUCGUGAGCACUAAUAGAUUUCACAUUAUUUACGUGAAACACGAAUGCAUUACACACAUUUCAUAUAUUUGUCGUAACUUUUCGUUUUAUCAGGAUAUAUCUUAUCAAAGUGUGAAAUAAAUUUGAUAUAGGUUAAUUUUAGUAAUGGUCUAUAAACUUUACCUCUAGUUUAACUUUAGUCUAUAAACUUUCAUAUUCGUUUUUUUUUUUAGU
rnacentral:lncRNA from 1 species